UCAUGUCAUACACAUUACUUUGUAUCCUUACUUCUCACUUAACAAUAUAACCCUGGUAAUCUUCCCGGAUCAAUAAAUCUACGUCUACAUCACCAUCGUGGUUUUUUAGAGUAUGUUUAAACAAUGAUCUAUGAAGAACUGGGCGACAGAUGUGAUUUGUAUUUAUUUGAUUACUAAAGAGGGCGAACAUCUUUUCACAUGUAUUGGCCGUUUUCCUUUCUUUUGUGAAUCGCAGUUCACAAGCUUUGUGUAUAUUUUAAAGGACCCUUCACUUUUUUCCUAUGGACUCGAAAACAUAUCCACUUUAUAUAUUACGGAUAACACAUUAGCAGGCACUUACACAGUUUAUACGCACCAAGCACUGUUCUAAGGACUCGUAACUUUCACUCGUGGGACGCUUACAAUAGUUCCACAAGGCAAGGAUUGUCAUAAUCCCCGUUAUCGGAUAAGCGAUUGGCCCAGCGGGGAAGAGGCAGACCUGGGAUUCAAGUCCUCGCUCUUAACCACUAGACGCUCCAGCUAAUGUUUUGCCUGUUAGAGAUUUCACAAAAUUGUGUUUCCAACUUCCUAACUUUCCGGGCUUCACUUAUCCGGCCAACUCCAUCAGUCCUUCCCCUCGCGGCCUUCGGGGCAGAACGGGGCCCGGGCGGGGCGGGGCGGCGUCUCCCAGCCGCCCGGCAGGCCCACCGGCUCUCGGGCGGGACCGGGACGCGCGCCGUUUGGAGGGUCGCGGCGCCGCAGGGGCCGCGGGGGCAAGUCCCCUCCGUCGCGGCGGCCCGGCGCCCCUGAGCUCGGACACCCCGCGGCGACCCGGCCGCCCCGGCCCCGGGCCCCCGCGCCCCGUCUUCCCCCGGAACUCCGGGUCCCCGGCUCCUCGUCCCCGCGGCCCACAGAACGGCUCCCGGGCGCCGCCCCCGCCCAGAGGACGGCCCCGAGGCCCCGACCGCGCGCUCCCCGGGCGCAGGGCCGUCCUAGCGGGCGUGGGGAGCCACGCUUCAGGCGACUCGAAACCAGGAGGAUUGAGGACUGCUUCGAAAGGCGGCUGCAGACGAAAGCCUCCAAAGCCUCGGGCGGCCGGCCGCCACGGCGGCGUCAUCCGCAGGAGGGGAAACUGAGGCACAGCGGGCCGGCCUUUGUGGGCGCACCGAGGACACGCCCCCAAGCCGGAGCGCGGCACCCGCCGCCCCGCGCGCCCUCGGCGGCCACGUGACGACGCCCGUCCAUCACGCGCGGGAGGCGGGACGCUGCCCCGCCACUCUCGCAGCCGUCCAAUAGGAAGCGGGGAGCAGGCAGGGAGGCGGCCCCGCGAGCCCCUCCCACGUUGGCGCCCCGCGCGGGGCGGGCCCAGCCGCCGCCCUCCAGUGGGGUCCCGGAUCGCCUGGCUCUGCUGAGGCGAAAGGGCAAGGCGCUCGUCAGUCAGGCGGCGCGGCCAAUGGGCUCGCGCGUUGCCCUCGCGCCCGCCCCCGCCUCGGCCUCCCGGCGCCCGCGCCGCCUUCCCUCAGGCCGCCGCGGCCCGCCCGCCCGCGCCUCCAUCUGGGUCCUCGCGCGCGGCUCUCGGGCGGCGGCGGACGGCGGCGGCGGGCGCGAGGACCCCGCUGUCCCCGCGGAAGACGACGGCGGGCGGCAGCCUUCUCCGCGAGCCUGAGGGAACCAGGAUUACCAGGAGAAAGCCUUCCUGUGGUGCUCAGCUGUGGUCCCUUUUCAACGUUCACCCUUGACGUUCUCUUCACUGUGGGAUGAGGUAGUAGGUUGUAUAGUUUUAGGGUCACACCCACCACUGGGAGAUAACUAUACAAUCUACUGUCUUUCCUAACGUGAUAGAAAAAUCUGCAUCCCAGCAGCCUCAUAGAAAGCUAAUAUAACUAGUUGUACAAUAUUUAGGAUUAACUUGUGUAAACCUGCUGUAGUGCAGCAUUUCUUUAUGGUGUGCAAGUUGCUUAUUCUUUUAGAGAGAAAAAACUUUAGCAAGUAGACUGGAUGGGGGUGCGGAUACUUUUUACUUCACAUUUCCGUAUGUCAGAAUAAGUGUAUAUUUUAUUUUGAUUGAUACUGUUGAUUUUGUGUUGUGUUUCCUUUUGAAAUAGAUGUGCUCUCCGUUCCAGAAGAAAAGAUUGCUCUGUCGGAGUGAGGUAGUAGAUUGUAUAGUUGUGGGGUAGUGAUUUUACCCUGUUCAGGAGAUAACUAUACAAUCUAUUGCCUUCCCUGAGGAGUGGACUUGCUGCAUUUUGUUUUUAUCUAGAUAGUAUUAAAACUCAGAAGAAUUAAUUUUGACAUUGUUUUGUAUUUACAGUUUGUUUACGCUAAGUGCUAAUUUUCUCUGUUCAAGUAUAGUGUACCUGUAAUAGACACAGUGAUCUAAGUUUUUAAUUUUCACAUAUGGUAUAUGUCAGAAAUCUGAAAUUAAGCAGAAAUCUCCAAGAGUGAAGAAGGUGAUCUUCAGGAAAUCUUAAUGGGGACUGGGCCCUUUUGGAAUUGUGAGUUGGUUUACUGCACUGCCUGCUGCUGCCUGUGUCCGGGGUGAGACCUGGGCGGUAAAGGUAAAUGCAACUGAAAAGACCCUGAGCUAAAACGGCGUCAGGGUGAUUGUGGUUCACGGCCCAGUUUGGGUUUGGGGUGGCCUUGGGCAGUGUGUAACCGCUUCUUCAUUGGUGUGUUGUUUUGGACGGCUUCACUCUCCAGCCUGGAAAAGGAGAGAUGGGCUCUGCGUUCUACCUAUGCUCCCUCGGAUGUCACGAAGACCUCACCUUUGCCCCAAAACCUGAAGUGGUCCUUCAUUCACAAAGGGGCAUCCCCUGAAGCUGACAGAUGGGGAAAUCCAUAGUUUAUUGUUUUAAAGAAAAUAUGAGGAUGAUGCUAGAAAGGCUUACUGGAGUUUUAACACCCAUGAUGGCCCAUGUCUCAGCUUUCUUCCAGUGGCCAAAUCACAUGCUGCCUGGCUCUUAUAAUCAAGCAAGGCGAAAAGCUCCCUGUUUUAAGUGCUUGCAGUUUAUUUUAUUUUGGGAGAAGAAAAAAGGCAAAAUGUGGAGGUGAAGGAGAGGUGACCUCUUCCCAAAUAUUUCCAUUGAUCAUGAAUCUUAAUAUCUAAGAUAACCACAGUGUAUGCUAUUGGCAGUAGGAACUUGGCGUGAGAGAAACAUCAAAUUCUCUCUUGGAUGGGCCCAACCCAGAUGAGUUAUCCUGGGUCAGAUUUUUGCCUUGUUUUAUCCCUGGCAUACAAAUGGACACUUACGUGAUCCAGAAUUGGUCUGUCUUAUAAACUGGACAUGUAAAUAUUGGGGGAAAUAAUCAUUUUUACAUUCAUUGCCUUUUGGUGUGCCAAAGAAAAGUGGGAAUGUUUGAGAAAUUCUUUGGCUUAAUCUUUGUUAAACCGACAAGUUAGAUGACUCUCCUCUUCAUUGUGUGGCCAGUACAGUCGUGGAGUUUUGUGGUUUCCCAAUAUUUCCCUACAUUUUGUAAAAAACACUUGAGUACCUUUAUGUGGAGAAUGUGACAGUCUCUAAAAGCUUGUUUUUGAUGGCAACAUCAAAAAUUGUGGUACCAAUUUGCUUCCAUUUAUUCAUUCAAAGGUCAAAAACUUAAAUACUUGGGUCCAAGAGGAGCUGGCUGUAACUAGGAAACAUCUACAGGGCACAGGCAGUAAGUUAAUUUGUACCAGUUGAUGGUGGCAAGCAGGAUAUUUAUACAUAGUGUCACCUAAUUUUCCAGUUUAUCAAGAGGGAGAUUUUAUGAAAUUUGAUAUUUAAAUUUUCGUGCAAAGUUUAAUGUUUUAAAAAGUCUGUGACUCCAACAGUGUAUCAUGGGCUGGGUAUUAGGCUUCUGGUUUGCAUCCUCUGACAUAAUUGAAUUACUUACUGUUCCUUUGUAACGAGGUUUGAUUUUAAGCAAAUGAAGUUGUGGUUUUUAACCAAGGUCUUAUGGCCAGGAACUUUUUAAAAGCAUCAGUGAAAGAAUUCCAUUUGGUUUGAAUUUGAAAUAAAACCCAAAGAAUAUGGCCUAAUUUAACAGGUUAAUUUGAAGUGCAUCUGCCAAGUAGAAGACCGGCAAGAAAAAAAAUGGGUUCCUAGGAAGAGGUAGUAGGUUGCAUAGUUUUAGGGCAGGGAUUUUGCCCACAAGGAGAUAACUAUACGACCUGCUGCCUUUCUUAGGGCCUGAUUAUUCCACGGUCACCUGUUUCCUUGCUGCCUUGCUUUGGUGUAAGCAGAGUUCCUUCUGCAGGUUUUCUCAUAAAUGAAAACAUUGCAGGAAUACCAAAGGAAGCAAUACUUGCAUUCGUGGUUUAUGAACAGCAGCAUGGUACCAGCGUUGAUUACUAAGUCAUCCGAUGAGAAUUUAAGGCUUCUGAAGUGUACCUAGUUGCUUAUGUGUCUCACUGAGGGUUGCUGGGAGUUUUGGAGAGUAUUGUUUUUUAUUUUUGUCAAGUUCCUUUUUCUGAUCUGGAGACUGCCAGCUCUUUUCCCCUCAGUAGCCUCUGUUAGACCUGAAAGAUGUUUAACAAUACUAUUGAAAUAUUUUGCUGUACAAAAAUAUUUUCCUACACUGUAUUUGUAAAUAUUUAUCUUGCUAAGUUUCUGGGUUUCUUUGUCUUCUGGACUUGAAAUGUGGGUCAGUUCUGGUGGAAUUGCAUAUUGUGGGAAUCCAUCAUUGCAUUGAGCGCCCAUUAUGGUAUGUAACCCUGUGGUUGAAUCUGUUUAAUGUGUAUGAGGCCUAGAAGGUCAACAAAAUGAAAAUGGUUGUAAGGUAGUGGAGUUACUAUAAUUUGCUAACCAUCUUUGCAAUAAAAAUACUACUUGAAAAUUGUGCUUCUUAAAUCAUUCUUAACUUUCAUCUCCAUCCUUGCAGAACUAGGUACAUUUUUUAAGUAUUUAGACUUGUUUUAAGAUCUGUUAAAGUACUCACUUUGAUUUUUUAUUAGCAGUAAUUUGCUGAUUGUACUGUCAUUCACAGAUGUAUAUUCAUGAAGCUAACUCCAGCCGUAUCCCACUCUUACAUUUUGUAAACGCUUGUGUCUUUGUACACACAAUUACAUCUGCUCAGGACACACUGCUUUCUUAAAGUAAUUCUCAUUCUUAGUCUGCUCAGGCAGACACUACCUUACAAAAACUUUCCAUUAUCUCUCCUCAGUUCCCCAGUCUGGUGCAAACAUUUGUCACAGUAAGAAUGGUGCUGAGCCUGGGAUGUGUGCAUUAGCAUUAAUUCUUUUCAAACUAUUUUGAACAGUAAUAUAUUUAAAAGACUUAGGUGAAAUGGUUGAAAGGGGAUUCAGUACAGCUUCCUAUCUUGUUCCCUCUCCUUAGAGGAUGUUCCAGUGGGAGGAAGGUCAGGAGGUGCAAUCUAGGCAUGUCCUGCUCCUCUGCCACGUGGGGCUUUAAGUUUCCUCUGUAAGUUGAGAUAGUUGGUUAUGGCUUCUAAGGCACCUUUCGCAUUGUGCAGCCCUUUAAAAUCAGAGUUUAAAGAUUUCGAUUCAUGAGUAGCAGAACUAUAUCAGUUUCAUGUACUGUACACAGAUUUGAGUGGAAAUGCAUAGGAAAAGAACAAGGAAUUGAAAGUGAUACUGGCUAUAGUAGGAUUAGGGAUGAUUUUUUAAAUCAGUAUUGCAAAUUUUCUAUAGUUUUGCUUGUAGAAGUAUUCUAAAUCUCUAACAUCUUCCUUAUUAAAGUAUUUGGACCUCACUACUUGGCCCUCAUUUUUUCCCCAUUUCAUUCAACUAACUUUCCAGAUUGUUCUUUAUGUUUCCUAGUUUGCCUUCCACUUUUGGGGAGGGGAGGGGAGGAGAGCUGAGGAGCCCUCUGGGAAUUGGACGUAAUGCCUUCAGCAGUGUUUGCUGAUUGAUUGGCCCGCCUGAAGGAAGCAUCUGCUGUGUUCUGACUCCUUGGGAAUCUGAAAUCUUGCUUAUUGCUUGAAACCCAUAAUUUAGAAUUUUAGUUUAACUUAAAGGCAUUUUUCCUUAAGAGAGCCUGAUGUAAUUUCAUUGAACUGCUGUUAUCAGAAGAAGAAGAGCGGGUUAGAUGAACUAGUGUUUUAAAUAAUGGAGGCUGCCCAGUGCUGGUAUGCAAGCAUGACCAGUGUCCUAGAUCCUUUAUACCUUUUUUUUUUCUUUGCUGAGGAAGAUUAGCCUUGAGCUAACAUCUUUGCCAGUCUUCCUCCACUUAUUAUAUGUGGGUUGCUGCCACAGCGUGGCCAACAGGUGGUGUAGGUCUGUGCCCAAGAUCCAAACCCACAAACUUAGGCUGCUGAAGGGAGCACGCAAACUUAACAACUACGCCACAGGGCCAGCCCUCUUUUUAGCUUCUCCGCCAUCUGUAGCACACCCUUUCCAUUCUCAAGGUCACGUUUUUGUCACAACAUGUCUGCUAUUAACUGGCCGUCACCCUUUUUCCAGACACAAAGAUGUAAGGGGAAGGGCAGGCGCAUUUCAGCCAUCAAAUCUGGUUGAAGUGUUUUCUCAGCAGCGUCUCCUAGUGACUCCUUUUCCACUCACCAGUUGGUGCUGUCGCCCUGCUGUGGCUGCAAGGAAGAUUGGGAAGUGGCUUACCAGGCCAAUUGCCAGGCUGAGUAGAAUUGGUUCCACUAGUAGGGAGAUGGGAGAAAGCGAAGCAAAGGGUAUUAGGAUAAAACUUGGCAUGAGGAAGACCAGUGGGCUCUGUUCCGUCCCUGCCAUUACCACUUGUGCAGCCUCAGUUGGGCAGGCCUUCCCAGCCCUCUGGGCAUGGUGAGGAAUUCUCAGCUGACUGGAGGGGUUCAGUCAGAAGGGCUGCAUGGGGCUUUUCCAUCUGAGCAGAGAGCACGUUAGGAGGCCAAUGUGCACCCUGCGAUGUGUAUUACCUCUAGCACAGAGACCCGUACAGGACUGGAACUAAACACAUCUAUUUCUCAAAUUAACAAACUAUUUAGAGCAGUUUUUGGUUCAUGGCAAAAUUAAGCAAAAGGCACAGUACACGUACACCUUGUCGCCACCCCCGCAAACUUCCCCAGUAUUGACAUCCUAACCACUGAUAUGUUUUUGGUUUGAGGGGGGUGGUUUGUGAGGAAGAUUGGCCCUGAGCUAACAUCCGUUGCCCAUCCUCUUUUUUUUUUUUUUUGCUUGAGGAAGAUUGUUGCUGAGCUAACGUCUAUGCCAGUCUUCCUCUACUUUGUCCGUGGGAUGCCUCCACAGUGUGGCUGAAGAGUGGAGUAGGUCCACACCUGGGAUACGAACCCACGAACCUCGGCCACCAAAGCGGGCCAUGGAACUUCAACCACUUGGCCAUGGGGAUGGCCCCACUGACCACAGUGAGCUGCUGCAGCCAUCUUGUGACCAUGAGAGGGACAGAGCGAGGUCACUGCCAGCCUGGAGUUCUGACAACAUUGAGCUGUUGAGCCAUUGCCAGCAUUUGCCCACCUCCACACUUCAAAUUAUGUGAGAAAAAGGAACUACCUCACAGUGUGUGGGUGUGCUGUUACUUGCAGAGGACAGCUCCCCUCACAGGAUCCUUCCUAUCUCAGGGAAGGCUAAGGAGAGGUCUUAAGUGUGCUCAAGUGAGGGACGAGUGAAGGUGCUGAGGCCAUCAGGUAGGAAGGAGCCUCUUGGCUGGGAGAAGGGUGAUAGAGACUGGAUCUCUGGCAUCUGGAGGCCACGGCAGGACCUGAACAUGAGCACAGCAUGUAGUGGGGAAAGGCUGACGCCAAAGACUAUGUUUCAGAAACCUGGGUCUUAGAAGCAGCAGCCAGCAAGGACCACGCCCGGACAGCAUGUGGACCAGACACCGCUCCCUUGUGCUGAGAUGUUAGCCCUUUGGAAACGUCACCCUCAGGGAGGAAAUGGCGCCGGGGGAGGACCUUGAAUUUGAUAGACUACUAAAACAUAAUUACCUUAAAUGGAUGACAUUUCAGUUUCCU
ensembl:lncRNA